rnacentral:lncRNA from 1 species
GCUGAUCUCGACCACUUGCCUUACACUCAGUACUUGAUGGCCACCCCUUAUGCAUCACUCUUCGAAUCGCGCCCACAUGUUAAGGCGUGGUGGGAAGAAUUGUCAUCAAGGCCUGCUGCCAGGAAGACGACCGCUGCAAUGCCAAAAUCUGGGUGAAGAAGUUUAACGGUCAUGGAGAGGAAAGGAAUAUGGUGCUGCUGUUGAAAUAGAAUUUUUUUGUUUAUGCGUGUUCAUGGGAAGGUUCUGUUCUUGCUUCUCAGUUCAUGUUAAAGCGCUUAAGCUAUUGUCUUUUUCUCAACCAAAAGCAAAAAAGCCUUAACACUCCUUUUAUGUAGCAUCUUUAUCGUUAUUUAAAAAUGAAGAGUUAGUGAGUUAUCUUAAAUGGAGCAGGGGCCACGAAUAAUGUUUUAAUGGAUUGUCAUGUUUUUGAGCCCCUCCAUUCCGCUAAUAUAUAUAAGAUUGUUAAUAAUAAUCUUUUAACAUGUUAUUUAGAAUUAAAACAACCUGUUAUAAUGCAAAUAACUACUAUUUAAUCUAUAUUAUUUUUAUAAUAAUAUUAUUUGUACAUUUAAAAUUUUCAUAUCCUUUUUUUUUUUGAUAAAUUGUAUGAUCUGGAAAAAUAACUCUACUAUUUCUUCUGUUAUUGCCUCUUAUUUUUUGUUAUAGCCAUUAUGAUAGCCAUUGUAACAUGAUCCUGAAAGAAAUUGAAAACGGGACCUUUCUUUUGAGAAAUUUGCCAUUCUCAUAUAUCACACUUAACAAGCAGCUAUGCACGACCACGAAAGUGAUCUCAUGAGGAUGCGUGUAUUGAAACUUUUGGUCAACCAGGGUGGGUCACACCAUUUCCUAUUUUCAUUGAGAUCUUGGUACAAAAUGUCUAUUUUAUCCCAUUAAUAGAUGUCAUAUUUGAUGUGGACAUCUUACCUAGCCCCAAAGUCUACUAUCAUAUCCUUAUUGUUAGGUAAAAGGUCUAUAUCUUACUUUGUUGCUUUGUUAAAUCAUUAGGGUUUUUUUUUUUUUUUUAAAUGAUUAUGUCUGGCACUACCUUUUAAUAGGGAAAAAAAACUUAUGAUCUGAAAUCAUACUAUUCUCCCAACACAGUUCCAAUGUAAGAAAUGCUCAAAAUAUUAUAACAAAUAAAUUUUAAGAACAUAAAUAUAAUGCAAAAGCCCAAUUGUGAAUUGAGACAGUGACCCGUGUCUCAGCCCCUGCACAUGCUUUGCAAAAGUUUAUUAGUUUUCAUCUCCUAGAUAAAGCUAAAUAAUGAAAACAAAGUGAAAAUAUAAGUGUAUCUAUCAUAUGCUUAACUAGAAUGUUAACAACUCUUAAAUUAAACAGCGUCAUGGCUAUCGAACUCACCUGUACUGCAUGUGCUCAGCACUAGUUUGUGCCAGUGUACUCAUUUUUAUGCUGCAUCAAAUUUGGAUCAGGCUAG